AUUGAACGCUGGCGGCAUGCCUAACACAUGCAAGUCGAACGGAGAUAGGGGCAACCUUAUUUCAGUGGCGGACGGGUGAGGAAUGCGUCGGAAUCUGCCCUAUGGUGGGGGAUAACACAGGGAAACUUGUGCUAAUACCGCAUAAUGUCGAGAGACCAAAGCAGGGGACCGCAAGGCCUUGCGCGAUAGGAUGAGCCGACGCCCGAUUAGCUUGUUGGUAGGGUAAUGGCCUACCAAGGCGACGAUCGGUAGCUGGUCUGAGAGGAUGAUCAGCCACACUGGGACUGAGACACGGCCCAGACUCCUACGGGAGGCAGCAGUGGGGAAUAUUGGACAAUGGGCGCAAGCCUGAUCCAGCCAUGCCGCGUGCGGGACGAAGGCCUCGG
rnacentral:rRNA from 1 species